rnacentral:rRNA from 1 species
UACGUAGGGUCCGAGCGUUGUCCGGAAUUAUUGGGCGUAAAGGGCUCGUAGGCGGUUCGUCACGUCGGGAGUGAAAACUCGGAGCUUAACUCCGAGCCUGCUUCCGAUACGGGCAGACUAGAGGUAGGCAGGGGAGAGCGGAACUCCUGGUGUAGCGGUGGAAUGCGCAGAUAUCAGGAAGAACACCGGUGGCGAAGGCGGGUCUCUGGGCCGAUACUGACGCUGAGGAGCGAAGGCGUGGGGAGCGAACAGG